rnacentral:sRNA from 1 species
ACCGUUCCUCGGUCAAGGGUACACGAGUAGCUGCGCUCCCCUGGUAGAACCUCCAAACAGGCUCUCAAGAAAGACUGGAGCAAUGAGC